UCCCCGAUAGCUCAGUUGGUAGAGCAGCGGACUGUUAAUCCGCGUGUCGCUGGUUCGAGUCCAGCUCGGGGAGCCA
rnacentral:tRNA from 2 species